AUUUAACAACUGACGGAAGUUUGUAUUAGUGAAUGUGCUGCCCAACAACGACAUGCAUUCAUAAACAAGCUCUGAUCUGAAGUGGUAGUGGAAUAUUCUGGCUUAAUGAGACGCAACUGUGACUGACAGAAAUCAGUAACAAUGGAAGCCUAUGACCUGCUGUCUUGCUCUCCAUCAACACAAGUCAUGAAGAACAGCCAGGAGCUGGAGGGUGCUGAAGGUGUGGGGCUGAAGUCAAGGGAGAGGCAAGACCACUAAACAUCACUCUUUUACUGUCAAGUUUUGUAAUAGAUAUCACAGAAAUAUAGGCUUUGUUAAACAAACCAGUUUCUCUUCUUUCCAAGACAAGUGUGUAGGAUUGCCUUUGAGGGGUAUCUCAGCAUUUGGAUGAAAAUUGCCACCACUAACCCAGAACUUCUGGUGGUAAACAAACAUUCAGAUGAAUUCAUCAGAUGUAGAGACAGAUGUACAGUCCGGUCAUAUGGCAAUAAGUCAGAUCAUCUCGUUCAAGAACAGCGCAACAUCCCUGUUCAGAAGCUUCUGAAGAAACACACCACAGCGAAACACAUGCGGGUGGAACGCAUGAGAAGACUCUACACACAGCACCAAGCUGCAGACCCGCUGACCCCCCAGACUCUGGGUCCAGAUGAGCAGGAACACUGGGAGCAAGAAAUGGACGAACUGCUGGAAUGGACUAACUCCCUUUCUUUCCAAAAACUAGAUGACCAACUGUAUGCACAAAUUUAGAUAUCACAAGUGUUGUUUUUUUUUUGU